UGGGGACAUGAGUGUCAGAAAUUGGCCAUGGAGCAUUAGAAGAAGGAUGGCUGAUCUAAUGAUUUACAAAUUCUUUUAGAUCAGAUGGAUAUCCAAGAAUGUAUUUGUCAUUUACUUGGGGAAGAGAUGGCAGCAGAAUGCACCAUGAGAAGAACGCAGGCCAGCGGAGGUAGUGUUAUGAUCUGGGCAAUGUUCUGUUGGUUAAUUUUGGGUCCUGCUAUUCAUGUGUGUCUUACUUUGACAUGUACCACCUACCUAGAGAUUUCUGCAGACACAACUCGAAACUUGGAGGGUUUGAAGGAUCUGUUCUAAUGUCUUGGUGCCAGAAAGAACAGGACACGUUCAGAGGUCUUGUGAAGUCCAUGCCUCGACACAUCGGAGCUGUUUCAAGCCCUGCACUAAAGCCUCUGGCUCUCUGUCGGAAGUAGUGAAGGUAUGGAGUGGCACUCGGCAAACCCAAGGUAAAACGUCAAACCUUUCUAAAGCAGGAUGACUACAACUGGGCACUUUUGGCACCUAACUGUUCCAGUACACUGAAGUGGUUAUGGUGCUUGGAGUGUUUCUUUAACCAAAGAUUAUUCAUUUUAUUUUGUAUUUUUGCAGUUUACUUUCAUGAUUUGUAAUUUUUUC